CUGGUUCCGCUCCUGCGGCUGGGGGGACUGAAGGGGAGAAGCGCCGAGUCCUUGGUUCGGCCCAACGGCUGCAGGGGGACGUUAACGGCUGGUUUGGGUUUAGCGGAACGACGGGCUGGCCGCCAGCGGCCUGUGGCGGGGGCACAGCGCGGUCCCAGCCUCGCGGCGUUCCCGCUAGCUCGGGUCCUGGGAAGCGCCGCCCUGGCACCGUAGCCCCUCAGCCCUCGUCCCCCGUUUCCCUUGGCCCUUCCUCCUCCAGCCCGCCUGCCUUUCUAGGAGGGCGGCUCUAGCUUUUUUGCCGCCCCAAGCACGGCAGGCUCAGGCUGCCUUUGGCCGCGCGCCUGCGGGAGGUCCCCGGUCGCGGAAUGCGCGGGCCGGCAGACCUCCCGCAGGCAAGCCACUCUCGCAGGGACCAGGCAGCCCCCCGGCUUGCCGCCCUAGGCCUCAUUGCAGAGGUUUCCCUUGCCUCUCAGUGUGGCCCCACCAUCUGGGCUGACUGGCUUCAUGAAACCCUCACGCCUGACCUGUAACUCAGCCCCUCUGCGUCUGAUGAACCCGGAUGCAUCUCGCACCAAGUGCAAGUGAUGGAGGCGCCAUCUCACCCCAGACCCCUCUUGAAAGCUCAAGUAAAGGCGCAGGGGCCUCUGUGCCCCCAACUUGGACAGACCUAACUUAACCAGAGGUUUUUCAUGAAAUUUACAGACUACUUGAGCUUUGCUGUCAUAAUUGAUGAUGCCAUCAGAACCUCCUCAAUGGAAUUACAUCAACAUUGUGCAUAUUUGGGUCCCUCCUGUUAGGGGCUCUGUGGGCUUUAUGGGGACCAAAAGCCAGUUUUGCCUAGGAAGUUUGAAAAAUGUGGAAGUUAUCCCUACACAUGAACCAACCCAUGGGCACUGAUAGCCUUGAAAAUAUAAGUAGAUAUAAAAUUAUCAAGAGGAUUGAUAUCCACUUUAGAUGUUCAAAUCACAGCUUCGAUUGACUUCAGUUGCAGAAGUGUUGAGCACUCACAGCUACCUGUCAGACCCAAGGGAUAUCAAGUUGGGCCCCCAGAAAAUGAGGAGAACACAGUGUGACAGUCUCUAUCCCUAUGUUCACCCUUUUUACAAGACUAUGAUAAAUUUUGUACAAAAUGUACCUUGUGAGGUAUCAUUUGAAAACUCAUAAUUUGCUGAUCAUUAUUGUCCUGGUGAAAUGAGUAGCAACAUUGUAUGUAAAGUUAUAAAAUUCUACUGGCAUGACAUUGCUGAGAUGUGUUCCAAGUUCAGAAAAGCAGGCACAAACCAGUUCAACAAAAUCAAAUGGACUGUCACCUGGUUAAGCAUCCAUUCUUUGGCAAGAAAAAGGGUGUGAGCAGGAAAUCUAUUUUUUGGCAAAGAAACAGCUGGAGGUUCCCAUCACCACAGACUUGCUGUCUCCUGAACGUCAGCUGGCGAUGAUUUUCAAACUAUACAAAAGGGAAACAGAUGCUCCAAAAGUGCUGUCCCUUCAUCUCUACUCAUGGCAUCCACAACACUUGAAGAACACAAGAAGCAUAAUUGGACUGGGGAGGGAUCCUGGCAGAAGGAAUUCAGCUAUUAAGAGUGCUCAAACAUGGUGAGAGAGACUUUUGCUUUGAAAUCACUUAGCUUGUUAAGUUAGGUGUUAGUUGUUUUACCUUUUAUUUCUUUUGAAACCAAUUCUGACAUUUUUCAUUACUUGUAAUCACUUAAAAUCUAUCUUUCUGUAGUUAAUAAACUUGUUUCUUUGUUUUAUCUAAA